rnacentral:rRNA from 1 species
UACGUAGGGGGCAAGCGUUGUCCGGAAUCAUUGGGCGUAAAGCGCGUGUAGGCGGCCCGGUAAGUCCGCUGUGAAAGUCGGGGGCUCAACCCUCGAAUGCCGGUGGAUACUGUCGGGCUAGAGUCCGGAAGAGGAGAGUGGAAUUCCUGGUGUAGCGGUGAAAUGCGCAGAUAUCAGGAAGAACACCCGUGGCGAAGGCGGCUCUCUGGGACGGUACUGACGCUGAGACGCGAAAGCGUGGGGAGCGAACAGG